ensembl:lncRNA
CUAUUGUAUUUGAACAAGUCCUUGCUGCAGCUUAGGUCUUUGCUGCUCUGCUGUCGUUGCUACACUUUCCUUUGCAUUACAGAAGCUGAGGCAGUUAAUCUGAGACAUGUGCUGUAUUAGCAGCUUCAGUGUUUUCUUACCCAAAUGCCCCACUAUUCUAUGCUACCUGGGAAGGGCAAAAGCCAUCCUCCUCUAUUCCCAUCCAUGAGGGAACAGUUUCACGCGUGACUUCUAAGCCAGUGAAAGACUGCCUACUCACAGAGGAUGAUGUUCAGUCUGCUUCCUCCUCUCUUCUGGAGACAAACCCUACCAAAGAAAUCAAAGUCUGUACCCUAUUGGCCAAGCUUUCACGUAAGCAAAGGGAGAGAUGCCCAAAGAUGUCUUCUGCCAGCGCUCAUGGGAACUGAAGCUAAAGUCAUCACAUUGUCAUAGUCAUUACUUCGCAGGCAUGGGUUGAUGGUUGUACUAGGUGAACUUAUGGUCUUUCCAACCCUUAUGAUUCUAUGAUCUGUGCUCCUCACACUCCUUGGCAACCCGUAGGGAUGCUCUGCUCCUGAGUUUGUAGAGAAGAAACUACUCUCCCUUUUUGGCUUUCAUCUUUUAUGCUUGAGCACAUGGUGAUAUCAACGAACAUGGAUUCUAGUCUGGAAAGCUGCUUGCCACUGACUGCAGGGGACAAUUUAAUCUUCAUGUUAACUUCACUGCUGGGCUUCCUAGAUGGUUGUUUUGCUGCCUGAGCCUGAAGCAGCAAGUGAGGAAGGGGAGUCAAAAAGAGAAAUUAACUCCCUGGGCUGAAAUUUCAACCCUCUCUGAUUUUUCUCUACAAAGGUGGAACAGGCUUAGAGGAAAGGGCUGCUCAAGCCUGGUCAGAGCCUUCCUGAAGGCAGGUGUCUGCAGUGCUACCCUUCCUGGAGAAGGAAUAAAUCUGGAUAUCCCAGCAUCAAAAACAGGCUAUUUACCUCUUUAAGAACAUCCCCUUACUGCACCUUUCCUCUGCUCUCAAUAUUAAGUUUGCCUUUCCUCUCUCUUUCUUCUCUUUGCUUUUCCUGGGCCUCCGAAGAUCUGGACACUGUGUCCCUCCCACAGAAAGAGGGUAGAAAAAUACUAUGAGGUUGCAGCCCUAUUCUAGCUUGGCAGCUGCUGGUUCUGCGUGUCCAUCUUCCUCCACUACUCUCUCCCCCACUGUUAGAUUCAAUUUCAUAAAUAAAUACCCCACGUAUUGACGUCAUUAUAGGCCUUGAGAAAUAAUACUCCUGCCGCUUUCUUUGCUAAGCAUGGGGAACGGAGGAGAGAGGGAGGAGGAACAGAAGCAACAACGUCUUGGAAGAUGAAGACUUAAUAUUCUCCUAAUCGCUUGCCUCCCUUUGCGGCUAUGACCCAGCUGUGAAGAAUACAAAGAUUACCAUUAUCAGCGUGCCCUUGUGGCUUGAGAAAGGAUAAUUGAGUAUCAAAAAUUCCUAUUACAGAUGAUUUUUAUUAGGAGAGAGGAUGAUGGGGACAUACUCUGUCCUAGAAGCUGGAAGGGUACCCUCAACAGUGUACCCCUGUGCUCCUGUCAUGAAAUUAAGAAAUUUGUAUCCAAAACGUGCUUACAGUUCAUGUUUCUGCGUCUAAGACACCAGUGAUGUUUCCAGCCAUGUCUCAUUGAAAAUCUCUUUCCCUCACUUCAUUUCUGGAGGUCAAGUGGCUGCUUCAUAGACUAAGCUGUGACAAGUCAAAGCCAAGACCACUGAGUUUGUGCCUUUUUUUUUUUUUUUUCCCUCAGUUCUAAUAUUACACUGUGGUACUCCUCAAGACUAUGAAAUAAUUUGUGUUUUUAUUGGUUUAUUUUGCUAGAAGAAUAAAAGAUUCCCUUCUCCAUGUCCUUACUCUUUGCCAAGCAAGAGCCUAGUCGGUUGGAAACCUCAGCUUUCAGAUCAAUAUUGGCAGACAUCAGGAGAAGGCAGGGAAAGAGGAUCUUGCAGGGCUCUCUGCAAAAGCUGAUUUUGAUGAGCAAGGCAUUCCUUGGGAUGCAUGCAGCUGGGAGUACAGCAGCGAAGCGGGGAGAGAAAAGACACCAGAUGUGAAAGGUUCUUAUAGCUGAUUUGCUUUAUUGAUAAUGUAUUACAAAUGGAAAGUACAAUAGGUGCACAAUCUAGGAAGUGUGUGUCUUGCCUAUUGCUUGAGUGCAGACAAGUGACAUUGUUGGUGAUGCAUCAAUGCCUUUCCCAGGCUUCCCCACAGCCAUAUAAAACAUCAGUGGACAAUAGUGUAUAAAAAAAUAAAAAUAAAUAAAAACAAUUAAAAAAACCCACUUCUUAAAAACAGCAUCAACAUGAACAACAAAUACAGUUCUUCCCUUUGUUUAGUGCAGCUAGGUACAUCACCAAAAAAAAAAAAAAAAAAAAAAAAGAGCUUUUGAGAGCAGAAGGAUGAAAUGGAUGAAGCUUUGAGGGAACAAGGAAGUAAAGGAAUCAGUCUGUAGGCUCAGUCAAUCCUGACAGCAUUGGCACUACUUAUUGAACACUAAGAAAACAGCUCAGCUGCUGUCUGGAUUUUAAAAUGAAAACUGAUCUCAGAAAUGGCAUAGAAGAGUGGAAAAAGAAG